GCUCAGGAUGAACGCUAGCUACAGGCUUAACACAUGCAAGUCGAGGGGAAACGACAUCGAAAGCUUGCUUUUGAUGGGCGUCGACCGGCGCACGGGUGAGUAACGCGUAUCCAACCUGCCCACCACUUGGGGAUAACCUUGCGAAAGUAAGACUAAUACCCAAUGACGUCUCUAGAAGACAUCUGAAGGAGAUUAAAGAUUUAUCGGUGAUGGAUGGGGAUGCGUCUGAUUAGCUUGUUGGCGGGGUAACGGCCCACCAAGGCGACGAUCAGUAGGGGUUCUGAGAGGAAGGUCCCCCACAUUGGAACUGAGACACGGUCCAAACUCCUACGGGAGGCAGCAGUGAGGAAUAUUGGUCAAUGGACGAGAGUCUGAACCAGCCAAGUAGCGUGCAGGAUGACGGCCCUAUGGGUUGUAAACUGCUUUUAUAAGGGAAUAAAGUGAGUCUCGUGAGACUUUUUGCAUGUACCUUAUGAAUAAGGACCGGCUAAUUCCGUGCCAGCAGCCGCGGUAAUACGGAAGGUCCGGGCGUUAUCCGGAUUUAUUGGGUUUAAAGGGAGCGUAGGCCGGAGAUUAAGCGUGUUGUGAAAUGUAGACGCUCAACGUCUGCACUGCAGCGCGAACUGGUUUCCUUGAGUACGCACAAAGUGGGCGGAAUUCGUGGUGUAGCGGUGAAAUGCUUAGAUAUCACGAAGAACUCCGAUUGCGAAGGCAGCUCACUGGAGCGCAACUGACGCUGAAGCUCGAAAGUGCGGGUAUCGAACAGGAUUAGAUACCCUGGUAGUCCGCACGGUAAACGAUGGAUGCCCGCUGUUGGUCUGAAUAGGUCAGCGGCCAAGCGAAAGCAUUAAGCAUCCCACCUGGGGAGUACGCCGGCAACGGUGCAA
rnacentral:rRNA from 2 species